rnacentral:lncRNA from 1 species
UUCAGGGCGGGAUGGAGCGUUCGGUUUUUCUCCUGGUUCUUUUUUUUUUCUUCUGGUUCUUAGGUGUGUCGUUCUUCUCCUUCCCCGUUAGAUUUUGCGGUUCUUUAGAUGUUUUGGAAGAUUUUACGGUUCUUUAGCCAUUAUUUUUGGGAUCUUAGGCUUCUUUUGCGUGUAUUUGAAUUUUUGUUUGGGUACGUGGCCUUCGAUUUCUUGAAUUGGAGAUUCUUGAAGACUAGUUAUUCUUGAAUUGGGGUUUCUCGAAAACGAUUUGUAGUAUUUUUUGGUUGAUAAUUUGAUUUAGGUCUUCGACCAAA